rnacentral:rRNA from 1 species
UCGCCCAUUAAAGCGGUACGCGAGCUGGGUUCAGAACGUCGUGAGACAGUUCGGUCCCUAUCCGUCGCGGGCGUAGGAAAUUUGAGAGGAGCUGCCCUUAGUACGAGAGGACCGGGGUGGACGUACCUCUGGUGUAUCAGUUGUUCCGCCAGGAGCAUCGCUGAGUAGCUAUGUACGGAUGAGAUAAACGCUGAAAGCAUCUAAGUGUGAAACUCGCCUCGAGAUGAGAUUUCCCAUUCUUUAUGAAGUAAGACCCCUCAGAGAUGAUGAGGUAGAUAGGCUAGAAGUGGAAGUGCGGCGACGCAUGGAGCGGACUAGUACUAAUGGUUCGAGGACUUAACCAA